rnacentral:rRNA from 1 species
CAGCAGCCACGGGAAUACAGAGGGUGCGAGCGUUAAUCGGAUUUACUGGGCGUAAAGCGUGCGUAGGCGGCUUUUUAAGUCGGAUGUGAAAUCCCUGAGCUUAACUUAGGAAUUGCAUUCGAUACUGGGAAGCUAGAGUAUGGGAGAGGAUGGUAGAAUUCCAGGUGUAGCGGUGAAAUGCGUAGAGAUCUGGAGGAAUACCGAUGGCGAAGGCAGCCAUCUGGCCUAAUACUGACGCUGAGGUACGAAAGCAUGGGGAGCAAACAGGAUUAGAUACCCCCGUAGUCCCUGUCUCUUAUAA